UCCUGUGAAAUGUGAGAGGAAGGAAGAAAGUCAGCACCAAUUUCAGAAAUCUGAUUCUAACAACAGGUCAUCUCUAAAUGAGGUAAAUCUUGGAAUCACCUCCAACUUUAAAACCAUUACUGUGCACCAAGUCAUAUGCUAGAUUCUGGGAAAAAGACGAAGCACUAUUUUAUCUCCAAGUGAGAGAGACAAACCUCUCUCCUGUGUCUGCACCCAUAUUAGAAUUCUAACAGUCCUCACUUCUGCUCUCCAAACUUCAAAUAAGGGGUUAGAGCCAAGAGCCAGGACUUUAGUAAAAGCACCAGAAAUAUUCUCAGAGUUCCACAUUUUCCUAAGAGUGAUACACACUGAAGAGUUGUGAAAUAAGUCACUUGGGUUCUGUUAUAGUAGUAUUUGAAGAUAAUAAUUUAACAUGCUGACUUUAACACACUAUGUGUCUUUCUCCAUGUGUGCGUACAGGAUAGACCUUCUAGAUUAUUGACUGUGUUUGCCCAUUGCUGACCUAAAGGGCUAUUCACUUGCAGCAAUACCUUCUCUGCUAAGUUGAAUUGCUCAACUCUUAAAACCCUUCCUACAGAAAUUUCAGAGUCAUCUCUGAUUCCAUGGCAGCCCCCACAUGAUAGAGUGGUGAAUUAAUUGUCAAACGUGGAAGAAAGGAUACUGAAAGCUGAGCAGAAAUGGCAACAUUUUGGAGUAACUAACCAAUGGAACAAAUGUGUGUUCUGCCUGCCGCCCUAACUGCUUCAGGAGCUUUCUCACCUUGAAGAAAGGGAAAAUGAAGAUUUUGUGGCACUUCAGAAGCAAAGCCUGACGUCCUUCUGUGCUUUAGAGGUGCUGCUGCCGUUCUAUGAGUGCAGGAGCCUUGGAGCUGGCGGCAGAAGAGCCUGUACAUAACCUGGAGGAAGGACCAUUAUCAUUCCUUAUGAAAAGGAAGAUAGCUCAGAGGCUUGCUAUUCAGAAAGCUUUGUCAGAUGCAUUACAGAAACUAUUGAUUGUGGUUUUAGGUAAGACUUCUUUAAAUUUAAUUUUUCUCAUUCAUGUGUAUGUGUGUAUCUGUAUGUGUUUAUCUAUUUUUUGGGAGGCAGAGUUUAACUCGAUUGUCCAAGCUAGAAUAUAGUGGCAUCAUCAUAGCUGACUACAACCUAAACUCCUGGGUUCAAGUGAUCCUCCUGCUACAGCCCAGCUAAUCUGUUUUGUAGAGAUGGUGUCUUACUCUUGCUUAGGUAUGUCUUGAAAUCCUGGCCUCAAUGAGUCCUCCCACAUCAACCUCCCAGAGGACUACAGGCGUGAGCCAGUAAGCUUAGAUAUUUUUAUAAUUUUAAAUAAUACUUAUUUUUUUUUUGAGACAGAGUCUCACUUUGUCACCCUUGGUAGAGUGCAGUGGCGUCACAGCUCACAGCAACCUCAAAUUCUUGGGCUUAAGCGAUUCUCUUCCCUUCACCUCCCAAGUAUCUGGGAUUACAGGUGCCAGCCACAAUGCCUGGCUAUUUUUUUGUUUGUUGGUUUUUGUUUAGCAGGCCCUAGCUGCGUUUAAACCCACCAGCCCUGGUACAUGUGGCCAGCACCCUAACCACUGAGCUACAGGCACCAAGCCAAAAUGUCUGUUGUUGUUGUCUUUUUCUGUUUGUUUGUUUGUUUGUUUUAUUUUGUUUUAUUUAGCAGGUCCAGGCUGAGUUCAAACCCACCAACACCGGUACAGGGGGCCAGCACUCUAACCAUUGAGCUACAGAAAUCAAAAGAAUGUCUCAUUAUGGUGUUGCAUCCGAGAAUCGGAAUCACCAAGAGAGAGCUGGACACCAAUGCAAAUCACAUGAGGGCAUUUAUUCAGGCUCGAACCAAGGCUGUCGGCCUUCCCCCAGACGCAGCUGAAAUUUCAGAGUCAUCUCUGAUUCCAUGGCAGCCCCCACAUGAUAGAGUGGUGAAUUAAUUGUCAAACGUGGAAGAAAGGAUACUGAAAGCUGAGCAGAAAUGGCAACAUUUUGGAGUAACUAACCAAUGGAACAAAUGUGUGUUCUGCCUGCCGCCCUAACUGGUACUCAUUUUUUUUUAUCUUUUCAGUGGGAUUUAUUUACGUUUAAGUAAAAGUAGCAAAUGUUACAUAAGUUAUUUCUUUAAGAACAUUUAAUUUAUACAACUACAUUGUUAUCAAGCAACAUUUAUGGAAUGUGCCCUGGAUCUGGGAUAUUGAACUUUGUAACUAUUGUAGCAUUCUCUUUUCCAAGUUUAAACAUGACCUUGUGCAGCGAAGAAGCAUGGCUUCUCAUUGUAGAGUUAUCAUGUAUGACAACCUGACCUGCAGGAAGGCUUUGGGUGUUUAAUCUUCUAUUGAUUUACAAAAUGAUUUGUGUGCGUGAUCAUUCAACCCAUAUGAUUGUUUCAACUCAUUUUUCUUCUGCUGUGAUUAAAAGAAAUCAGCUAA